rnacentral:rRNA from 1 species
AGCGAUGGAUUGAGAGCUUGCUCUCAAGAAGUUAGCGGCGGACGGGUGAGUAACACGUGGGUAACCUGCCCAUAAGACUGGGAUAACUCCGGGAAACCGGGGCUAAUACCGGAUAACAUUUUGAACUGCAUGGUUCGAAAUUGAAAGGCGGCUUCGGCUGUCACUUAUGGAUGGACCCGCGUCGCAUUAGCUAGUUGGUGAGGUAACGGCUCACCAAGGCAACGAUGCGUAGCCGACCUGAGAGGGUGAUCGGCCACACUGGGACUGAGACACGGCCCAGACUCCUACGGGAGGCAGCAGUAGGGAAUCUUCCGCAAUGGACGAAAGUCUGACGGAGCAACGCCGCGUGAGUGAUGAAGGCUUUCGGGUCGUAAAACUCUGUUGUUAGGGAAGAACAAGUGCUAGUUGAAUAAGCUGGCACCUUGACGGUACCUAACCAGAAAGCCACGGCUAACUACGUGCCAGCAGCCGCGGUAAUACGUAGGUGGCAAGCGUUAUCCGGAAUUAUUGGGCGUAAAGCGCGCGCAGGUGGUUUCUUAAGUCUGAUGUGAAAGCCCACGGCUCAACCGUGGAGGGUCAUUGGAAACUGGGAGACUUGAGUGCAGAAGAGGAAAGUGGAAUUCCAUGUGUAGCGGUGAAAUGCGUAGAGAUAUGGAGGAACACCAGUGGCGAAGGCGACUUUCUGGUCUGUAACUGACACUGAGGCGCGAAAGCGUGGGGAGCAAAACAGGAUUAGAUACCCUGGUAGUCCACGCCGUAAACGAUGAGUGCUAAGUGUUAGAGGGUUUCCGCCCUUUAGUG